GAUGAACGCUAGCGGCAGGCCUAAUACAUGCAAGUCGAACGGUGUCUUCGGACAUAGUGGCGCACGGGUGCGUAACACGUAUGCAACCUACCUUACAUUGGGGGAUAGCCUUUCGAAAGGGAGAUUAAUACCGCAUAAGACAGUAGCUGGGCAUCCAGCAGCUGUAAAAGAGUUAUCGAUGUAAGCUGGGCAUGCGUCCAAUUAGCUAGUUGGUCCGGUAAGGGCUCACCAAGGCAAUGAUUGGUAGGGGAACUGAGAGGUCAAUCCCCCACACUGGAACUGAGAUACGGGCCAGACUCCUACGGGAGGCAGCAGUAGGGAAUAUUGGGCAAUGGACGCAAGUCUGACCCAGCCAUGCCGCGUGCAGGAUGAAGGCGUUAUGCGUUGUAAACUGCUUUUAUACAGGAAGAAACGACUCUUGCGAGAGGCAUUGACGGUACUGUAUGAAUAAGCACCGGCUAACUCCGUGCCAGCAGCCGCAGUAAUAC
rnacentral:rRNA from 1 species